ACUGGUCAUGGUGUCUUGUGCCUGUAGUUCAGCUACUUGGGAGGCAGAGGUAGGAAGAUUGCUUAAGUUCAGGAGUUCUGGGCUGUAGUGCACUAUGCCAACUGGGUGUCUGCACCAAGUUCAGCAUCAAUACAGUGACCUCACAGGAGUGGGGAACCACCAGGUUGCCUAUGGAGGGGUGAAUCAGCCCAUAUUGGAAAUAGAGCAGAUCAAAAUUCCCAUGCUGAUCAGUAAUGGGAUGGCAACUGUGAAUAGCCAUUGUACUCCAGCCUGUGCAAUGUGGUAAGACCCUGUCUCUU
ensembl:misc_RNA Metazoa_SRP Metazoan signal recognition particle RNA